GCUUGACAUAUACAGGAAUAUGGCAGAUAUGUCAUAUCCGCAAGGUCUGUAUACAGGUGGUGCAUGGUUGUCGUCAGCUCGUGUCGUGAGAUGUUGGGUUAAGUCCCGCAACGAGCGCAACCCUCGUUCUGUGUUGCCAGCAUUUAGUUGGGGACUCACAGGAGACUGCCGGGGUUAACUCGGAGGAAGGUGGGGAUGACGUCAAAUCAUCAUGCCCCUUAUGUCUUGGGCUGCACGCAUGCUACAAUGGCUGGUACAAACGGCUGCGAUACCGCAAGGUGGAGCGAAUCCGAUAAAGCCAGUCUCAGUUCGGAUUGGGGUCUGCAACUCGACCCCAUGAAGUCGGAGUUGCUAGUAAUCGUAGAUCAGCAACGCUACGGUGAUACGUUCCCGGGGCUUGUACGCACCGCCCGUCACGUCACGAAAGUCGGUAACACCCAGAAGUCAGUGCCCAACCGUAAGGAGG
rnacentral:rRNA from 1 species